CAGGAGAUCAGUUAAAAAAACAUAGAUAAUCCACUUUUUUUGGUGUGGAAACAAACAAGCUAGCUGUACACAUAAUGGCCCGCGUAGGGUCCCAUGUGCUGUUCGCGCACAUGGGGUGGCUCCUUUGCAACACCGAUGUCAAAGUCGUGACAUUGCAUGAGCAAGUAAUAGCAAUGGCUGACCCUUCUGGGUCAGGGUGCUGUCCAAUCUAGGGUAGAUAGGUAAUUUUUUAUUGCCCCGUACUGUGUACACAAAUAUCAAUGAAACGCUCAUAGUAGUGGGCUAACAUGCAGUACAGUGGAUGUAAUAUGACUAUGUGAUGUAGUAUUAAGCAGUACACCUUUUAUUUAUCCGGCCGUUUAUCUACGUACGUCUUUUAUUGAUUCGCGGUGCGACGUAAAGAGGCUUCAUGGGCAGAAGGUGAUCUGGUAGUUACUAUUGCCAUUGCAGGCGUGUGUGGCGCGGUCGUUGGGGUGUUGGUAGGCUUGCGGCGGCGGGCAGCUGGGGUCCCUGCACCGGAGCGCGUCGCCGGUGCUGCACGAGAAGUCCAUGGCAAGGUUGAAGCCGUCGAUCACCGAGAUGUCGUAGAAGUCCUGGGUGCUGCCGCCGCCGAUGGUGUACUCGGCCAGCGUUGCCGGCGGCCGCCCGGAGAGGGAGCAGGACAGCUGGCCGCCGCAGUCGCCGGUCCGGCAGCUCCCGCUGCCGCCAUUGAAGGAGCACCCGGUGCGGGCCCAUAUCCUCCCGGCUUUGGUGCCCGCGGGCACGUUGAUGCUGGACGUCUGGCCUGCGCCCAGCGCGAAGCCCCCACCCACCGGGAUGCCCGCCGGCCAAAUUGUGGAGCCGCAGUUGUUCUUGAUGUUGAAGGUGGCCGCGCUGGCACCGGCGGCGAAAACAGCCAGGAGGAGGAAGAGCACCGCGGAGGUCGCCAUUGCUGCAAGCUCUAGUUAGCUUCAGUGCUCUUGCUGUGCUCGAGCUUUGCUGUAGGAGGAUGAGUGAAUUUGUU
rnacentral:rRNA from 1 species